rnacentral:lncRNA from 1 species
UCCUAGAAGUCAAUAUGAUUGACAUAUUAUAAUAACAUUAGGACACAAUUUUAUACUUAAAAUAUUAAUUUGAUCAAUAAAAAGAUAAAUUUAUUUUUAUUCAAGUAUGAUGUGCUCUUGCAUCGUCCAUGAAAUUAAUACUUAUGAUACAUAUUCUCAAAGUAUUGAGAAUUAGAGACAUAUAUUAUUAAUUCCUAAAUUGCUCUCGGUCAUAGUAUCAUUAUGAGGAUAGUGAUUAAUCCAGAU